UACGGGGGGUGCAAGCGUUGUCCGGAAUCAUUGGGCGUAAAGAGUUCGUAGGCGGCACGUAAAGUCUGGUGUUAAAGGCAGAGGCUCAACUUCUGUACGGCACUGGAUACUUGCGAGCUAGAAUGCGGUAGAGGUAAAGGGAAUUCCUGGUGUAGCGGUGAAAUGCGUAGAUAUAUGGAAGAACACCAGUGGCGAAGGCGGCUCUCUGGUCUGUAACUGACGCUGAGGCUCGAAAGCAUGGGUAGCGAACAGG
rnacentral:rRNA from 1 species